UAUAGUUUUGAACCGGCUGCGCAUCAACAAUUCACAAUGACACCUCGAACAAAAAUAACUACAAUUAAACUACAACAGGGAAGGAAAAACUCAACCCGGAGCCAACUUAACCCCCGGAUUUCAGUGCCUUCAAUUACCAGCACAAGUUUCUCGGAGUGACGAACCGCCCUAAGUGCAACGCGUGGCCGACUUUUCUGGUUCCCACGGGCCACUCACAGUCGAAUCCCCACAUCCUGACCUCAUCACGGGCGCUCGGUGUGUGCUCUAGCACACCAGGCAUCGGUAUAGUCGCUAACUAGCCGAAGAAAUUUUUCCUGCUAGUGCCGAACCACCCUUACCGAGCUCCCAUUUCCGUUUGUCAGAUAAGUACCAAUCUCUUUAAACAAAAAAAAUCUAACACUUACUUUAGGGUAUCUUUGCUUCCAGAUCCCCCCGGCACCGCGUUACUAUGAGCCGACCAUCAGGUAAUGAUAAUGUUACACAUUGGACGUUACUGGAAACCUUACUUGCGCUGAACAAAUUGGAGUUUAGGUGAUGUACUCCGACACCCCACCCUACCUGAGAUCCGGCAUGCAUCCUUCGCCAAAUCUCCCUUCCGCUGGCUACCGUCAGCCUACUCCAGGGUCAGUCUCAUUUCCCCCUCCCCAUAGACGAACACUUAGCACAUCAUCCUCACGUUACAAAUUUAUUAUUAACUAUAAACAUUCAUCUUCAUUUCUUGCAUUAUAUAUCUUCCGUUAAUUUAUUUGCAUUUGUUUGCUUCCCUUUGCUACAGAUGCGAUGCCAAAUUCAUACGAAAACACUUCCUUUGAAAUUGAUUUAAAUUUUCAUUACACCAUUGUUGACCCACAUACGAACAUAUAAAUAUAGAUUUAUUCAUAAUUAUACAAUUAAAUUACCCUACCUAUUUGGAGCUCCAACCAGAGGUUUAAUCGGGUUAUCUCGGGUUUUCUAAACUUAUUUACAUGAGACUUUUCUUUUUUUUUUACAUUCGCAUAUAGUUGUGUAGGUUAUUUACUUUAUUCGUUAUUUUACAUCCCAACUGUUGCGAGA